rnacentral:rRNA from 1 species
AUACGUAGGGGGCGAGCGUUGUCCGGAAUGAUUGGGCGUAAAGGGCGCGUAGGCGGCCGCUUAAGUCUGGAGUGAAAGUCCUGUUUUCAAGAUGGGAAUUGCUUUGGAUACUGGGGGGCUUGAGUGCAGGAGAGGUUAUCGGAAUUCCCGGUGUAGCGGUGAAAUGCGUAGAGAUCGGGAGGAACACCAGUGGCGAAGGCGGGUAACUGGACUGCAACUGACGCUGAGGCGCGAAAGCGUGGGGAGCGAACAGGAUUAGAUACCCUGGUAGUCCACGCGGUAAACGAUGAAUGCUAGGUGUUGCGGGUAUCGACCCCUGCAGUGCCGGAGUAAACACAAUAAGCAUUCCGCCUGGGGAGUACGGCCGCAAGGUUGAAACUCAAAUGAAUUGACGGGG